rnacentral:misc_RNA from 1 species
CUGGAAAUAUUCAAGGUUGUAGCUGGCCCUUUUCGGGGGGUAAUGUGCUCGCCUUGUUUUCAAUCCAAUUCACACCUGUGCACACUUUGUAGUGUUUGGUUAUAGGUCUCUCUUUCGGGGGGGAAACUAAACCAGCUCUACGUAUUUUUACACAUACACUUAUAAAGUUUAGAAUGUUAAUACUUGUGAUAACACACAUUUAAAA